AGAAUGUAACUGAAUGGAAUGAAGAACGAAAAGAACAAGUGAAGAGAAAUGAAUGGUAAUGAACGAGAGAAGCGAGGAAAGCACGCAUUCAUUUCUUUCACUUGUGCUUUUCUUUUCUUCAUUGUGUUUUGUUUGUUCUUUUUUCUAAUUAAAAUCACGCAUUCAGUUCCUUUCAUUUGUAUUUUAAUAAGAAAAAAGACAAAGAAA
rnacentral:ribozyme from 1 species